AAACCAUAGAUAAGCUCACACGUUCACGGUUGCUGUUUGCUUGUUUAUUGGCGAUUAUUAUGGUCGUUUUUGUCAUUUGUUAAAAUGAGGUUAUGGGAAAUGUAAUUUUGUUGAAAACCAUUCGCAAAGUAUGUGUAAUGGUUUUUUAACACAAUUUACUGAUAACUGCACUAGUUUCAUAUUAAGAGGUUCGCCAUGGAUGUAACACCGAUAUUUCCUGUAAUACAUUCGCACAUGGAACAAGAAGAAAUGGAUGAUGCAAAGUGUUCAUCUAGUUUAGAAGGUAAUAGUCAAGAUGAUUAUGAUAGUCCUUUCAAACUUCAAGUACAAGCCCAUCGUGUGUUGAGGAAAAGAUCGCUACAGACACGUCUUGUUUCCACGUCUAAAAGACGGUUUUCUUUAAAGCCGAAGAAAGUAUUAGCAUCGACAGACAAAAAAAAUUCAGAGAACUUUUACUUGGAGAGUAAAUUUAAGUUAACAAGAAAAGCAUCUCUAGAAACUAUUUAUGAAGAACCAGUUACUGGAAAAGACGGUAGUGUUAAAUAUUCCGGACCAGCUAAACUGAGACGACUGAAUUUUGACAGUAUUGCACGGUCAAAAAUCAAGAAACGAAAAACAAAAAUAAAGAAGGUUUUGGGGGGUAAACGUUUGAAAAAACAGCGGAUGUCGAUGGACGAAUUCAUUUCAAAGCUUCGAGGGAUCUCAACGAAAGUUGAAAGUGAAGAAAUUGCAGCUUUGUUUACAACUUGUGAAAUUAAAUAGCAUUUCAUGAGGUACUACUCAUUCCUACUAAUUUUGUGAACUUUGUAUUGAGACUUCUUGGAUUGUGUUUGUAUUGAAGUUAAAUAUCCUAGGAAGGAAAUGCAAAGGCCUUGUAUGCUUUUGCUGCAGUGUAUUUUAUGUAUGCUCCUUUUGUUAAAAAAAAAAAAAAAAAUUGUAAGGAAUUUUAAGUAAGGGCUGGUAUCACAAUGCCUGGUUAUUUUCUAACUUCUGAUGAAAAUUUAACUUUUGUUUAGCAAAAUUUUCAGUUUCUUAACCUGUAGGUAACUAUCAUCCCAAUCGUUAUUUUAACUAAACAAUCGAACACAUUUCAGUUUGAGUCUAACCAUGACUAUAUUCACAGACCACGAAUUUUCAGAUAUUCAGCUACAUUGUUUAACAUAGCGUAGCAAACCAUCCAAUCAAUUUUAACGUAUUAUUAAUGUGGCUUAUCUAACCUAACGAACCAUCCACCUGAUUUUGCAUUGUUUUCAACAUAACUAAGCAUAAUCAACCAUCCACCCUAUUUUACAGUAUUUUCAAUGUAGCUAACACAAUCAGGGUAAAAAAAUUAUCCGCUACAAGUUGAAAUGCAGCACACCUUAAAAUAAAUAAUUUUAAAGCAUAUUAAGAAGUAAAAAAUUAAUUUUGGGGAUUUUAAAAUUAGUUUUAUGGAAAAGUGUCUCUGCUACUGAUUUACCAAAACCAAUUUCAUUCAGAAAAGUUAUUACAUGUUGGGAAACAACAUGUGAACAGGAAACCACGCGGGAUUCAGGAUUGCAAAACGUUUGUGCUGUCGAUCUAUUUUAUGAGCUUAAAGCUAUUAGGAUAACAAGAAGCAACCGAGGCUCGGGAUCGCAUGAAAUUUGCGCUGUCUGCCAAUGAGUAUGUUUUUUUAUUACUUUUCAACAAAAGAAAAAAUUACUAAACUUUUUUUUUUAAUGUGAUGGAGAAGCACAAUUGAGGGGUCUAGUGAGAGAGGGAGCUAUGCCACUUCAACAAAAAUGGAAAUAAUAAUUGGAAUUAUCUAAAGCAUUAUGUUGAGUCAUAAUUUUUAGGGUUUUGCAGGAGCUAUGCUACAUGGUUGUAGUUCACAUGAUAGAUGACCAAUAGCAGGCAAAGACUGAAAAUGGUAAAAAUUAAAAAUGUAAAUAUUUGUGCAUAGCUCCCUUCCUCACUAGACCCUUCAAUUGUGUUUGAUAUAAAAAUAAUAAUACACUUGUUUCAUUUACUAAAUGUUAUGUUAGUACUGUAUUGGUCAUUUUGCAUUCAUUUAUGUGGGAAUACUUUUCUAAAAAAAUUAUCCAACAAUGCUAGUCAGUAUACAGUGUCCAAUUUGUUCACUACACUUAACCGGUACAUAAAACAUUCACCAGCCAAUCACCACGUAAAACGAUAGAAACGAGAUGAGAAACACUCAAGACAAACCAAUGGUUGUAUGUAGUGGUUAAAUUUAUUAUUUGGUUACUUGACCAAUACUUUAAACGGACAUUGUGAAAACAGCCUUAAGUAUUUUAAUAGUGUGUUAUGACAAUAUUGUUAAAACCUAAAAAAAAAUUUACUGUGUUUUUAAUUCUGUGAGUUGGUCUUUAAUGCAAGUACAUAAUUAGCAUGGUUGGUUACAUUGUCUUAGAAAAAAUAUUCAUUUUUGAAUGUAAAAAAUUCUGAUUAUGGUGUGUAAAAUUGUUGUAGUAAAGCCACAAAAACAUCUUUAUUUCAGAUACCAAUACCAUUUAUUUUUAAUUCAAAUGUCUAUUACAUUCAUGUUAGUGUGAACUGUUUUGAAAUAAGUUUUUUUUAAUUAUUAUUUAUUUAUAGUAAGAAGCUAGUAUAUCUGUUGAUAUUUUAUAUCUGUAUCCAAAAUGUAAUAUUCAAACUGUACACAUUAUCCACUGAACAUGUACAUUAUUUAGGUACAUUAUUAUAAUAAAGAGGGUAGUCUGAUGUGGGGAAAUGCAAAUAUUGGUAAUACAGUAGAGUGUCGCUAAUCCGGACUUGUCCGGACAGACCCUGUCCAGUUCACCGAAAGUCAUCAACUUUAAAAUUUAUCAAAAACUAGUUUUAUAGGCUAAAGAAAAAAUCUUUAUGCUUAAAAAUCAACUGUGUUUUAUUAUAAAGUACUUAAGAAACUAGAUAAACAUGUAUGUAACUUAUAAAUAAUACAAUACAUUAAAAUUAUAAUUAAUUCACAUUUAAUUUUUCGUUGAGUUUGAGGGCGAAUGCUUGUAAUGUUAUGCCCGACAGCAGAACGACUUGUUCACGUUGUUAGCAAAACCAAAUUAAUAAAGCCUCGUCUAAAGUUUCAUUUUUUGGUUUUUUAACGUGCUUCUGUUACCCAGACUGUCCUUACUCACCAUUUUGGCACAAAAAUCUUCAAUUUCUUUCCAAUUUUUUUCCCGAUCAGAAACAGUUUGUUUUCCCACUCCAAAAUCUUGCGCGAUUCUAGUUAAUGAUUCACCAGCAUCAAUACGAAAUAAGACUUGGUGUUUUUGCUCCAUUGUUACAGUGACUUUCUUACGUUUAGUAGUCAUUACGUUGCUCUUAAUAAGUGCACACAAUACAACACUCGCACUAAAUAAAAAUAACUGUCACGAGCACCUAUCACCAGCACGAGUAACCAUCGACUGAAGGGAACAAAACAAAACACUCGCAGGUAUAGAGUGAGUCUUUCUUGGUAAACAGACGAUGAACGGAAAGCUAGCGGUAAGACUCCCGGCAACUGAGGGCAACAGGACCCUCUCUUAGAAAUGUAUUUCAUUAUCCUUUGUCACAACAUUAUUUUUCAUCCGUCCAGAUUAACAGAUGUCCGGACUAGCGAGAGACUACUGUAGCUCUGUUCAUUUUACAGUACUGUUAAUCUCAAGUGGGUAACCAAGGACUGUAAGUGGCAUAGGUAUUGCUAGCAAUUUCCUCAGAAUUACUAAAUGUUUCCUUCAUGUAAAAUGUCACAGCUACUAAGGUAUAUAUAUUCACUGCCUGUUUACAGAAGAGUGUGGAGUAUUAAUGCAUGUCUCAAAUCCGUUCAGUAAAAACUAGAGUAACUGUCUUAUAGUGGUACCUAAAGCUGUAACUGAAAAAAAAAAACACAAACCAGAUGACCUACCUAACUUGACAGUCUCCAAAAAGCUUUAUCAACUACAUGUUAAAGGAGCUGUACUCUCAAAAACUACAGAUUUUAGUUAGAUUGAAACUGAAAGUUUUAUUUGUUACUUAUUCAGUAAAAAAAUCCAGUUAUUUAGAAUAGAUUUGAUACUAAGAUUUUAUGCGUCAAAGAUUCCAGGAGAGUCAGCCAUGAAUAAUGUAGGCUGGUUACAGCCAAGCAUUUGCCGCUUCCGAUUUUUUAAGGUUGUAUAUCGUCGCUUAGAAACAAUACCGCCUAAGUGACUUUUUUAAAAUUAGUUUGUUUCUCCAUGGAAACGUUAGCAUUUAUUUGUCAUCUUCUCAUGAUGUGUUUCGCUGAAUACCCAACAAUAGGCUGUUAUGGUAUUUUUGUAACACCAGCUAUCAUUCAGUUCUAGCAUGGUGCCUAAAGUUAUUAGAUAUGUAUGCUUAAAAAUGAUUAUCAACAAGAAAUGUUUGUGUUUGGGUUAUUUUGGUUUUGUAAAAAAAAAAAAAAAAAAACGCCAAAUCAGAGUGGUAUUCAUGGAUUGUAAAAUAUAUUUUUUCAUGUAAUAGGCUUAUCACAGAUAUUUACUUAUUAAAAACUUUAAUUUAAUCAUUUGAUCUAAAAACUUCAAACCAUUAUACUGUAACAGUAUAACAGCACUUAAAACAAUGUUUUCCAGAUAAAUUAAUGGACUACUAUUAACUAUAGAAAUGGUAUAAAUAUUUUCUGCUGUUUGUAAUACCUAUGUAUUAUGAUUUGAGGUGAAUUUUUCAAUAAAAUAAUACAAAUUUUUCUAUUUA